GAAAGCAAAGUAGUAAAAAAGUUGGCAUGGACCCACUGCCUAUGUAGGUAUGUAUCUAUGCCCUGUUCACUUUUUUUUUUUUUGUGUGUGAACACACUUCUCUGUCCUUCUGGCUUUCUAAUCUUAACUCCUUAACUAACUGAAAGGCUGCAGAUAAGACAUUGGAGAAUCUGAAGCAGAGCACACUCACAGUUGUGCCAGGCACAAAGAAAUUACCGAGAAAUUAUCAGUAGCUCUGAUACAAGCCUAGCAGUUAGGGCACUUUAAUGGGAUUUGGGAGCCUUGGCUAAGUUCAGUUGUUCUGCUCCCACGUCCCUCUGUGUCCUUGAGCAAGUCGUGCAUGGAUUGCUUUUAAAAAACUCUCACACAGGCUGCCUGAAUCCAACCUGAGCUGUUGGGCUGGGUAGUCCAACAUCUCCAGUAUCUGCGUAGAUAAACAUCUCUAGUACGUGCCCCGUAGGAGCACUGACUGCAGAGACAUUUGCAACUGGAUCCUCAUUCAGCACUUGAGCAAGCAUUUAAUGUCAGUCAAGGAGAAUUUAGCCUCCAAAGAGCAUGUACCCAGAAUAGAGCUUAUUGUGACCAUGCUAUAAAUAUGCUUGCACCUUCCUCUCCUCUGCCCACCCCAGAAGAUCGUCCUGCAUCCAAUGCGUGGUGGCAAAGCCAGCCUCAAUAUUUUUGCUCCCAGAGAUGGGGAGUGUGAAAACUCGUUUUGAUUUAGAACCAGCUGUUUUGACAUCAUUCCCUUUGUGAGGAUGCAUAAAAGUUUUUGGGUUUGUUCCAGACCAAGUUAGGAAACCUUGAAUGUUGCCACAGAAGAGUUCUCGGGCUGCUCACUUUCUCUCAAAUUUUCCAGGGUUAUUUUCCCUUGGGAUAUCUGGUUAACUUGUUUAAGUUGCCGGUUCCUCUGGCAUCUUGGAUCUUUCACCUUGACCUGCUUAUCCUUGGCUUCUCCCUUUUCCCAUUCUGCGUCCCAUGUGCUUAUUUGUUUUAUCUGGUCCGUUACAGAAGCCACUGUGUUCACUGGAAGCUGACAUCCGGGACUUGGCAUCCAUUACAGGGCUAACAAAAGGCCAUAAUCCAGGCUUUUCAACUGUUCAUCCACACGGCUCGACAUCAGCUGUGCAGGAGCGUAAACCUGCGAUUACCAAGCACGGGGCGGCUCUCCCACCUGUUCCAUCAUUUCUCCACCUUAUGUGCACUCACUCUGAGGACUGACAAGAACUGCCCUCCUAUUUUGUCCACCAAGAGCCUGGGAAGCUCUACUCACGUGAGUAGUUUUAUUGACUGGAAUGGGAUUGCUCAAGUUUGGAGGAACUGGGCCUCGAUGGGAGCAGUGGAACAUUCCAUGGAAAAUCUGAUGCACUCCAAGGAAUGCCAAUUCCCAUCGCUAUAAUUUCUCUCUGUAUAAAAUUCUCUCAAGUGCUCUGUUUCUCUUUAUGCAUCUGCUUCUUUGGAAAAUGACCUGCAUUUCGAAGAUCAGGUAGGAUUUGAAGAGAGCUGUAGAGGCAUUAAGUAGUAUAACGGAGUACCCCCUGCCCAAUUAAUACAAUAAUGUAUAAAAUAUGUUCUGAGAUCCUUUUUCCAGGACAGUAUUUAUUAUCCCAUUCCACAUUCUUCCAAGGAAGAAAAAAAGAAACAGGAAUGUAUUGGUCAUAUUGAAAUGAUGAAACGAAUAAAAUGUUUAUUUUAAAACGCUGGCA
rnacentral:lncRNA from 1 species